AGAUACCCUGUAGUCCAUACCGUAAACGUUGUGCACUAGCUAUGAGCGGUUUCGACCCCGUUCGUGGCUAAGCUAACGCGAUAAGUGCACCGCCUGAGGACUACGGCCGCAAGGCUAAAACUCAAAGGAAUUGACGGGUCCCCGCACAAGCGGUGGAGCAUGUGGCUUAAUUCGAUGCAACGCGAAGAACCUUACCAGGUCUUGACAUGUAGUGGACCGGUGCAGAGAUGCACCUUCUCUUCGGAGCCGCUUCACAGGUGCUGCAUGGCUGUCGUCAGCUCGUGUCGUGAGAUGUUCGGUUAAGUCCGUCAACGAGCGCGACCCCUGUCCUUAGUUGCCAGCAUUUAGUUGGGGACUCUAAGGAGACUAACUGUGUUUAACAGUGGGAAGGUGGGGAUGAUGUCAAGUCAGUAUGGCCCUUACGACCUGGGCUGCACACGUGCUACAAUGCCAAGUACAAUGGGUUGCUACACCGCGAGGUGAUGCUAAUCUCGAAAGCUUGGCUCAGUUCGGAUUGGAGUCUGCAACUCGACUCCAUGAAGCUGGAAUCGCUAGUAAUGCCGUAUCAGCUACGACGGCGUGAAUACGUUCCCGGGGAUUGUACACACCGCCCGUCACAUCAUGAAAGCCGGUUUCGCCCGAAGUACAUGUGCUAACCCGCAAGGGAGGCAGUGUCCUAUGGUGAGGCUGGUGAUUGGGAUGAAGUCGUAACAAGGUAACCAAU
rnacentral:rRNA from 1 species